UACGUAGGGUGCGAGCGUUUGUCCGGAAUUAUUGGGCGUAAAGAGCUCGUAGGCGGUCUGUUGCGUCGGCUGUGAAAACCCCGGGGCUCAACUCCGGGCCUGCAGCCGAUACGGGCAGACUAGAGUUCGGCAGGGGGAGCUGGAAUUCCUGGUGUAGCGGUGAAAUGCGCAGAUAUCAGGAGGAACACCUAUGGCGAAGGCAGCUCGCUGGGACGUUACUGAGCUGAGACGCGAAAGCGUGGGGGAGCAAAACAGG
rnacentral:rRNA from 1 species